rnacentral:ncRNA from 1 species
GCUAAUAGAGGUGCGUUCAGCAUUAGUACAUAAGCCAAACACAAAGGUAGCAAUUACUGUGGCUUGUGGAAAGGGUGUGGAUGCCGAAGCAUAAUACAUAUUGUGAUGUGUUGUGUUGGGUAUAAGGCUAAAUCCUUAUAACUGUCAUCAAAUAUGAUGAAGUACUAUUC